rnacentral:rRNA from 1 species
UACGUAGGGGGCUAGCGUUGUCCGGAUUUAUUGGGCGUAAAGAGCGUGUAGGCGGCCAUACAGGUCCGUUGUGAAAACUGGAGGCUUAACCUCCAGACGUCGAUGGAAAGCCGUAUGGCUAGAGUCCGAAGAGGAGAGUGGGAAUUCCUGGUGUAGCGGUGAAAUGACGCAGAUAUCAGGAAGAACACCAGUGGCGAAGGCGGCUCACUGGCCCGGUACUGACGCUGAGGUGCGAAAGCGUGGGGAGCAAACAGG